rnacentral:tRNA from 1 species
GGUAGGAUGGCUGAGCAUAGGCGGUGGAUUGUAGUCCCAUAGACAGAGGUUCGAUUCCUCUUCUUACCA